rnacentral:lncRNA from 1 species
GCGCACGGGCCCUGUGAGCGAUCGCGGUGUGCUCGGGCUGGUGACGCGUGCGCCGGCCGGCCGCCGAGGGGCUACCGUUCUGCCUCCGACCGGUCGUGUGUGGGUUUACUCGGAGAAAUACUAGGCUUUAGAAUUUCACCUUAUGAAUUUUGGGAGAGAGGAGCACAGUUCAGCCCAUAACUAACACACGUGAUGAAGAAGACAUGCCAACAGAGGGUUAAUUCCAGAUAAAAUGAAAUGUUCCAAACAGUACGUUUGGUUAUUUGAUCCAUCUGUGGGGGAAGGAAAGAUAAUUUUCCAAAGGACAUUCCUCCUAAAUUCUGUCUUAAAGUUGUUUACGGAAUGAAGUUGAUAAUAGUGAGACCUUGUUGGUACAAGACUCUGUAACAUAACCUGCGCUUCUCAACAAAGAAUUGCUUUUCUGACUUCUGCACUCAAUAGCAAGACAAAUCUCUCCUCUGUCUUUUUCUUAUCAGACUACUCAACAUGAAGGCAAUAAGAAUGAAGACCUUUAUGUAUAAUAAUUGACUUCCACUUAAUAAAUAAGGUUACUUGGUACACUGGUCGACAAAACCUUGAAAUGUUGAUGUUUAAGGGCUGUUGAUUGCUGGCAACAAAGAAGUCCAACUGUGCUGGUACCCGAGAUAGCGUCUCCACAUUUUCUUCCAGGAUCAUCACCUUUGUUGUAAAUAGCUCCCACAUAGUGUGAACAGAAGUCAUAUGUUUUAGAUUUUCUGCCUUGGCACCCAGG